rnacentral:rRNA from 1 species
UACGUAGGGUGCAAGCGUUGUCCGGAAUUAUUGGGCGUAAAGAGCUCGUAGGCGGUCUGUCGCGUCGGCUGUGAAAACCUGGGGCUCAACCCCGGGCUUGCAGCCGAUACGGGCAGACUAGAAUUCGGUAGGGGAGACUGGAAUUCCUGGUGUAGCGGUGAAAUGCGCAGAUAUCAGGAGGAACACCGGUGGCGAAGGCGGGUCUCUGGGCCGAUACUGACGCUGAGACGCGAAAGCGUGGGGAGCGAACAGG